rnacentral:rRNA from 1 species
CCUACGGGGCGCAGCAGUGGGGAAUAUUGGACAAUGGGCGAAAGCCUGAUCCAGCCAUGCCGCGUGUGUGAAGAAGGCCUUCGGGUUGUAAAGCACUUUCAGUGGGGAAGAAAGCCUUGGGGCUAAUACCCUCGAGGAAGGACAUCACCCACAGAAGAAGCACCGGCUAACUCCGUGCCAGCAGCCGCGGUAAUACGGAGGGUGCGAGCGUUAAUCGGAAUUACUGGGCGUAAAGCGCGCGUAGGCGGUCUGAUAAGCCGGUUGUGAAAGCCCCGGGCUCAACCUGGGAACGGCAUCCGGAACUGUCAGGCUAGAGUGCAGGAGAGGAAGGUAGAAUUCCCGGUGUAGCGGUGAAAUGCGUAGAGAUCGGGAGGAAUACCAGUGGCGAAGGCGGUCUUCUGGACUGACACUGACGCUGAGGUGCGAAAGCGUGGGUAGCAAACAGGAUUAGAUACCCCGGUAGUC